UUGUUUUUUUAUUGCAAAAUAAUUAUUUGUUAGUUUGAAUAAUUUAAGUCCGUAAUUGCUUGAGUUAUUCUUACAUGAGAACACUUGGGAUAAAAUCCAAGGAAAUUGCAUGAUCUAGCGUUAUCUUCAUACGUUUGGGUAGCUAGGAUUGGAUCUCUCUAUUUCUUAAUGCAAUUGACAAUUGUUUUGAUGCCUAAGGCCCAAGAAUGUUCCUUGGCAAUUUGUUGAUUAGUAAUUAAUUAGAGGACGUUCCCUAAUUGGUUUAAUCAUAAGGAGAGAUAAUGGUGGUGAGAAGCGUCUUCCAUCUCCAUAAACUAAUCUAUUGAAUCAACCCAAAAGAACAAAGUGUCUGUGAUUAAUCCCAACGACUAAAGUGGAUCCAAUACUUCAACUAGAGCUUUCUUAUUAUUUAUUUCUCUUUUAUUUUAUUAUUCGCUUAUUUUAAUUGCUUUUAGUAGUUUGUUAAUCAAAUCAAUUUCAAACCCCCC
rnacentral:lncRNA from 1 species